rnacentral:rRNA from 1 species
CAGGCCUAACACAUGCAAGUCGAACGAAGCCUUCGGGCUUAGUGGCGGACGGGUUAGUAACGCGUGGGAAUGUACCCUUCACUACGGAAUAGUCCCUGGAAACGGGGUUUAAUACCGUAUACGCCCUUCGGGGGAAAGAAUAUCGGUGAUGGAUCAGCCCGCGUUAGAUUAGGUAGUUGGUGGGGUAAUGGCCUACCAAGCCUACGAUCUAUAGCUGGUUUGAGAGGAUGAUCAGCAACACUGGGACUGAGACACGGCCCAGACUCCUACGGGAGGCAGCAGUGGGGAAUCUUAGACAAUGGGGGAAACCCUGAUCUAGCCAUGCCGCGUGAGUGACGAAGGUCUUAGGAUCGUAAAGCUCUUUCAACUGUGAAGAUAAUGACGGUAGCAGUAGAAGAAACCCCGGCUAACUCCGUGCCAGCAGCCGCGGUAAUGCGGAGGGGGUUAGCGUUGUUCGGAAUUACUGGGCGUAAAGCGCACGUAGGCGGACUAUUAAGUCAGGGGUGAAAUCCCGGGGCUCAACCCCGGAACUGCCUUUGAUACUGCUAGUCUAGAGUUCGAGAGAGGUGAGUGGAAUUCCGAGUGUAGAGGUGAAAUUCGUAGAUAUUCGGAAGAACACCAGUGGCGAAGGCGGCUCACUGGCUCGAUACUGACGCUGAGGUGCGAAAGUGUGGGUAGCAAACAGGAUUAGAUACCCUGGUAGUCCACACCGUAAACGUUGAAUGCCAGUCGUCAGGGGGCUUGCCCCUUGGUGACACACCUAACGGAGUAAGCAUUCCGCCUGGGG